rnacentral:rRNA from 1 species
CCUACGGGAGGCAGCAGUGGGGAAUAUUGGGCAAUGGGCGCAAGCCUGAACCAGCAACGCCGCGUGAAGGAUGAAGGUUCUCGGAUUGUAAAACUCUGUUGCGAGGGAAGUAGAAUGACGGUACCUUGUAUGUAUGAAACGGCUAAAUACGUGACAGUAGCCGAGGUCAGUCGGAGGAGUCACGGGUUUUCCGGAGUGACUGGGUUUAAAGGGAGUGUGGGGGGUUAAGUAAGUUAGAUGUGAAAUCCCGCGGCCUAACUGCGGAAUUGCAUCUGAACCUGGUAGGCUAGAGUGCAGGUGAGGUAGGUGGAAUGCAUGGUGUAGCGGUGGAAUGCUUAGAUAUCAUGAAGAACACCGAUUGCGAAGGCAGCUCACUAGGCUCCUACUGACGUUGAGGCACGAAAGCGUGGGGAGCAAACAGGAUUAGAUACCCCAGUAGUC